GGAGUUUGGACCGUGUCUCAGUUCCAAUGUGGGGGACCUUCCUCUCAGAACCCCUACUGAUCGAAGGCUUGGUGGGCCGUUACCCCGCCAACAACCUAAUCAGACGCAUCCCCAUCCUAUAGCGGUAAACCUUUGAUUCAACUUAGAUGUCCGCAUUGAAUAACAUAGAGUAUUAAUCCGACUUUCGCCGGGCUAUCCUCUACUAUAGGGAAGGUUGGAUACGCGUUACUCACCCGUGCGCCGGUCGCCAUCGUUGGUUGCAAGCAACCAACAUGCUGCCCCUCGACUUGCAUGUGUUAAGCCUGUAGCUAGCGUUCAUCCUGAGCCAAGAUCAAACUCU
rnacentral:rRNA from 1 species